CAAACUUUUUUUUUUUUUUUCCCCCAAAACAUUGGCUUUUAAUACUGUGGAACAAAGUGUUUGAUUUCCAAGAUCAGUCUCCCUGAAAACACUGCUGUUAAUAACUCUCUGUUUGAAGAGUCCUCUGUCAUGAACAGUGAAGAUCUUCAUUAGUUACAAGCACUGAAGACAUAAAGAAAAUGCCUGGUUGCAGAUAUAGCAAAGUGGACAUCUUCAGGAGUACUAAUUAACACUUCUGUGAAAGAGGGGAAAAAAAAAAAAGAAGAAAUACAGUGGAAUGUACCUGAAUGCUAUUCAUGGAACAAUUACAUAAAGAAAGAACAAUAGGAUUUUCAGCUUUUCACAUUUUCUUGGGACAUUACGGAGAAUCUGGCAGUGAUGUGUACAAGAACAGUAAACAGAGAAAAAUGGUUUGGAUAUCCACAAAUUUGUUUCCUAGGACAGUGCCCAGAGAAAACAUAAAGGAAUGAGAGUGUCUGAGAAGAGUUUUCCAGAUAGAAGACAGUGGUGACGUGGUUUUGGAGCUGAGGGCAUGAGGUUUCUUUGUCACAGUUACAAUAGUGGGCGAAGUGAACAAACAAGCAAGCAAACAAACGUGAUUUUUGGCUGGCAGCAGAUGUAUUUGGAAUGAAAACUGAAGGUAUGUAAGGAGACAUUCAGCCUUAAGUAGUAGGCUAAGGUUGCAGCUCAAGAUGGAGAUAUACAACCUUUAAAAAUGUGUGUUUGAAUAUGUAUCAUCCAGAGACCUGCAGCUCCUCUAUCCAACCACUCUCAGAGGAAGCAGACUUUCUUGAUUGGUCAGUACUUUCCUGACCAGUCAGUACAUUCCUGGUCAUGUCUGUCCCUAGACAACAUGAUCAGGAGGGCAGCAAGCCUGCUACCAGACCUCAGCAAAUCUACCUGCCCAAAGGUGUUUUGAUCAUCAGAAUUCCUCAAACUUUUCCUUACCAAAUCUCUUAACUUCAGUGGCAGUCUCUUAAGAGAUACUGUAAGGUGUUACAUGUGAUGUCAGGGAGGUAGUAUCUGACAGCAGCUAGAGGACAAUCUUUGGAGAUUACAGAUCUGACAGAGGAUACAGUACACUGAGAACCAGUUUUUUUUGAAGGCUGGAAGGGAGGGAAGAGAAAGAGCCAUAUAAAAUGUCCAUAUAAAACAAAAGAACACGGGAGAUUUUGAUUGAACAGAAGGCAGCAAAUCAUAGAACAGUGCCAAAAAAUCUUUACCUGUAAAAUUAGUUGUAGCUCUUGCACCUUCCAGUCAAAAAGCAGUAACUGUUCUACUUCAAUGCCAUUCACUGGUUGAUAUUUCUGUGGCUACAUUUUGAUAUGCAUUUAUUUCUCCACAUACUUGCUAAUUCAUAUGGGAAAGAAGCCAAACCAUCUUCUGGCAUAGGUUCAGUACAGAAAUGUGAGCAUUACACGUGGUUUCAUUUGUCCAAGGGACUUGUUACACUAUACUUGUCAUGAAUGGUUGUGUUUACUGACCAUAGUUACAAAAAUGUAUCUGCUGUGUAGAGAAAAUAAAAAUCAAUACUUCUCCUUUUUUUGCCUUUGA
ensembl:lncRNA